rnacentral:tRNA from 1 species
GGUCCCGUAGUGUAGCGGUUAACACGCCUGCCUGUCACGCAGGAGAUCGCGGGUUCGAUCCCCGUCGGGACCGCCA